ensembl:lncRNA
CAGAGCUUCACAAACAGACUUAAUGCCUUCAUGGAGGUGAUCAUUCACAGAGGAGGAUCGCUUUCUCUGAUAAGGCAGGACUAUUCCACCUCAGCUAAUGUGUGAUUCUUAACACAUUUUCCUGUAUUUGCAGUGGAUUACAAGCUUUAAAAUAUCAACAAGGGAGACGAGUGGAUACCAUUAUGGACCUACAUCCUUAAUACUUCCUGAAUCUUCUGCCGAAACAUGGAUGCAGCAGGAGGACUAGAGAGAAGGCACGCCACAGCAACUAGGAAAAUCGUAGGACAAUACCGCAUCGGGGAAUGCUCGGAUUACUGGCCGCAUUUUUCAUCCGUGCAAUUUCCCCAAAGGUAUGCCAUUGAAUUGCCGCCAGAGACAGCGGGAUUGGGGAGCUACCCGCUGGAGUUUCUCUUCAGCUGCCAGGAGUAUUUCUGCAGCUUGGCGGUUCCCAAGCCUACUAAGAGAGAGUGGAUCGGGUUCCUGGUGUCCAGGUUUUGCGGCCCGGCCCGUGACUGGGUGGAGCAGCUGGUGAGUGCUGGGUCGCCAGCCCUCCAUGAUGUCACUCAGUUUACAGAGCUGUUUAUGGAGGAGUUUUCACAGCCUGGACAACUUCGUGGUCUUGAUUUACUGGGGUGGAGAGCCAAUGGACAGCCCCAGGUUGACCCACCAUUCAACCUCUAUUAUGAGGAGAUGGACAGGGCAGCAACCAGCGAUUCACUUCAGUUUCCGGCCAACACGGGGGCGAAAUCCCCGAGAUGUAUGACCGAGGGCUGCGGGAGAGAGACUCAACUUCAAUGUCCCACUUGCAGGAAGCUGGGCCUCCAGGAAGCUUUCUUCUGCUCUCAGGAAUGCUUCAAGAGCAGCUGGCAGGAGCAUAAGAAACUCUACCGGAGAGCCCGUGCAGAGACCCAGCCUGGGACCGACAGGGUGACCUCAGAGCUCGAACCUGAGCCCCACGAGGUGGGCUCACCCGCCAAGCUCCAACAAAAGGUCCAAAUCCAAGUCAAGUCUCACGUCCCUGAGAUCCAGGUCAAGUCUCACGUCCCUGAGAUCUAGGUCAAGUCUCACGUCCCUGAGAUCCAGGUCCAGCCGCCAGCCCCUGAGCUCCAAGCCAAGCCUCCAGUCCCUGAGCUCCAAGCCAAGCCUCCAGUCCCUGAGCUCCAAGCCAAGCCUCCAGUCCCUGAGCUCCAAGCCAAGCCUCCAGUCCCUGAGCUCCAAGCCAAGCCUCCAGUCCCUGAUGUCCAAGUCAAGCCUCCAGUCCCUGAUGUCCAAGUCAAGCCUCAAGUCCCUGAGAUCCAAGUCAAGCCUCAAGUCCCUGAGAUCCAAGUCAAGCCUCCAGUCCCUGAGAUCCAAGUCAAGCCUCAAGUCCCUGAGAUCCAAG